AUGUGGCUAUUCUUCUGUUCUGAUUCUGUGAUAAUCAGGACAGACUAAGCAUUUCUAUAGUAAGACCAUGCAUGCAUCCCUAAACCUAGUUUUUUCCCUAGGCUGGGUUUUCUUAAAGCUGGUGGCCAAC